rnacentral:rRNA from 1 species
CCUGAUCCAGCAAUGCAGGGUGUGUGAAGAAGGCCUGCGGGUUGUAAAGCACUUUCAAUAGGGAGGAAAAGCUGAAGGUUAAUACCCUUCAGUCUUGACGUUACCUUUAGAAGAAGCACCGGCUAACUCCGUGCCAGCAGCCGCGGUAAUACGGAGGGUGCGAGCGUUAAUCGGAAUUACUGGGCGUAAAGCGCGCGUAGGUGGUUUGUUAAGUCGGAUGUGAAAGCCCUGGGCUCAACCUGGGAAUUGCAUUCGAUACUGGCAAGCUAGAGUAUGGUAGAGGGAAGUGGAAUUCCGGGUGUAGCGGUGAAAUGCGUAAAUAUCCGGAGGAACACCAGUGGCGAAGGCGGCUUCCUGGACCAAUACUGACACUGAGGUGCGAAAGCGUGGGUAGCAAACACGAUUAGAUACCCUGGUAGUCCACGCCGUAAACGAUCAGAACUAGUUGUUGGGGAGGUUAGACUCCUUAGUGACGCGGCUAACGCAUUAAGUUCUCCGACUG